rnacentral:rRNA from 1 species
UGGGGAAUCUUAGACAAUGGGGGCAACCCUGAUCUAGCCAUGCCGCGUGAGUGAUGAAGGCCCUAGGGUCGUAAAGCUCUUUCGCCUGUGAAGAUAAUGACGGUAGCAGGUAAAGAAACCCCGGCUAACUCCGUGCCAGCAGCCGCGGUAAUACGGAGGGGGUUAGCGUUGUUCGGAAUUACUGGGCGUAAAGCGCGCGUAGGCGGAUUAGUCAGUCAGGGGUGAAAUCCCGGGGCUCAACCCCGGAACUGCCCUUGAUACUGCUAGUCUUGAGUUCGAGAGAGGUGAGUGGAAUUCCGAGUGUAGAGGUGAAAUUCGUAGAUAUUCGGAGGAACACCAGUGGCGAAGGCGGCUCACUGGCUCGAUACUGACGCUGAGGUGCGAAAGUGUGGGGAGCAAACAGGAUUAGAUACCCCCGUAGUCC